GACGAACGCUGGCGGCGUGCUUAACACAUGCAAGUCGAACGGCAAGGCCCUGCUUUUGUGGUGUGCUCGAGUGGCGAACGGGUGAGUAACACGUGAGUAACCUGCCCUUGACUUUGGGAUAACUUCAGGAAACUGGGGCUAAUACCGGAUAGGAGCUCCUGCUGCAUGGUGGGGGUUGGAAAGUUUCGGCUGUUGGGGAUGGACUCGCGGCUUAUCAGCUUGUUGGUGGGGUAGUUGCUUACCAAGGCUUUGACGGGUAGCCGGCCUGAGAGGGUGACCGGCCACAUUGGGACUGAGAUACGGACCAGACUCCUACGGGAGGCAGCAGUGGGGAAUAUUGCACAAUGGGCGGAAGCCUGAUGCAGCAACGCCGCGUGCGGGAUGACGGCCUUCGGGUUGUAAACCGCUUUCGCCUGUGACGAAGCGUGAGUGACGGUAAUGGGUAAAGAAGCACCGGCUAACUACGUG
rnacentral:rRNA from 1 species